rnacentral:lncRNA from 1 species
AAUUUCGUAUUGGCAGAUAAUUAAUUAUUUAAAAUUAUUGGUUGCGAAAUAAGUAAUAAUCUGUUGCGAAUUAUUUGAAAUAGUUAGUUGCGAAAAAAAGGGUCAAACUCAAAUUUCGUUCACGGAUAUUACGUUGCGAAUGAAUUGGCGGGUACAGAUAUUACGCAUGAGAAAAAAAAUAUUUAUCUUUAUUUGGAAAUAAAUUACUACUUAGUUAAUUAUUUGAAAUGAUUGGUUGAAAAUUACUGGACAUAAAAAUAUUAGUAAAAAAGGAUAGAGAUAUUUUUGGAAAGAGGAAAAAAUUCAAAACUCACGCUUUUAUGAGUAGUAUAGAUAUAGAUAUUGCAUGUCACUUCCCUACUAUCACUUCUUCUGUAAUUUUCAUUUCGUAAUUUUUUUUUCCUACUGUCACUCUUAUAAUUUUUUUAGUUUUUAAAUGUUGAUACUUUAAAAUAGAACAUAUUAUUUUUAUUUUAUUAUUUAAAUACGAAGCAAGUAUUAAUUUUUUUCUUGGAUGUCUUAUUGUUCUCAGGAUAUGGUACUUGGGUAUGAUUCUAUACGUAACAUCACUCCUCUUGGAGACAAAUGGAAUAUCAAAGUCAGAGUGAUUUGUCUGUAUACUAUACCUAAAUUUUAUCGUCCAGAGGUGGUGAAUAGCCUAGAGUUAGUUCUUUCUGAUCAAAAUGUAAGAUACGACUUUCAUUUUCAAAUUGAACAUACGUUUGUUUUAUUUUUACUAAAAGAUACUACAUAAUUUGUUUAUUUUCUAUUUUAGGGAGUUAGGAUACAUGCAACGGUAAGAAAAGCUUUCUUAAACAAAUUUAAAGGCCUUUUUACGGAAGGAUAAGUUUAUGAGAUCAACCAGUUUGGAAUGGGGCAGAGCAGCGGCUCCUACAAGACCACUAUACAUUCUUACAAAAUUAAUUUUCAGUAUUCUACAGUUAUACAUGAGAUGGAAGAUGUUUUGACAAUAUCAAAGUAUGAAUUUAUAUUUACCCCUUUUGAUGAAAUACUUGCUAAUGUCGCUGAUGACAAAUAUUUAGUACGUAAGAGUUGUUACAUGUAUCAAAUAUUUAAUUCUCGUAAUCAU